CCCACCUCAGCCUUUGAACACUUUGUUUCAGACCCACCCAACAGAAGGAGGGAGUGGGAGUUUAUGGGUGAAGAACCAUGAAAUACAAUCACUUCUUCCAGUCUGGGAUUGGUUUGUUUUCGUCAAGUGGUCUAUGCUCCGGCUUUCUUCCUGGAGCUAUGUGGCAGCCUUGCUGGGUCCCAUGAAGACAGGAUCUUUGUCUUUUUGAGUCAGCCUCUACACCUUCAUCUGUUGGGUGAAUGAAGAGACAAACACAUACCUGUUCAAUGACACUGGUCUCCGUGAAAUGUGAGGCUCACCAAAGUAUCCCUGAAGGGGUAAAAUGGCCGUUGCCUGAGAGCUUCACCUGAGUCAUGGGAAGAAACCUACAGAGCCUAUCUGGGUUUGGUGAUCCCUGAGGAAGAGUUGGUCAACUCCAAAGGGGUCUCAACUCACAGGUUGAGAACUGUUGUUCUAGAACUUGCUUUUCUUCCCCUCUCUCUCCCUUGAUGAGUCAUGGCAUCUCUCCCACGAUACUGCAGAAAGCGACUUCUGCUUUCUGUAGUAAGGAAGCAUCGUUUUUGUUUUUCUCAAGG
ensembl:lncRNA